ensembl:lncRNA
GCUCUGGGUCCCUGGAGGAGCCCGGCUCAAAGCAGCGCGACUGGCCUCGGGCUCCUCGAGCCCCAGCCUAGCGCCCUGCGGAUUUUUAGAAGCCCAGAUCUCGGGGUUCCGAAGCGCACUCCCCCCAGGUGGCGAUCUUCCUGCGAGGCCACGACCAGGAACGGUUCACAGUCUGUGUCCCCGAAGACACCGGAUCCCCCGCUCCACGAGAGCAGAGGACGCUGCGUUUCUUCACGCGGCCCAGCACGGCGCCCCCACCCGGAGCGCGGAGGGUGAAGGACGGAUCCUGCCAAGGCCGCGAGUCGCCCCCGGGUCUCCAGACUGGGAUCCCUCUGGUCCCGCUCUACCCACCCCGCCGGAGUCCGCAGCGAGUCUCCGAGCCCCUGCCUGAGGGCAGGUCCUUGCGCCGAAGCGUCGGGUCACCCCAUUCCCUGAGGGGACAAAGCCUGUGUGACUGGGGAGACGUGCAGAGCCCUUUCCACGAGAGCGCAGUUUUAUAGACCUCCAAAAAACCAACCCGACGGUGUGUUAUUUCGAUUCCCCUGUAAAGUUUUGUUCGUAUUCUAGGUAAACGUCUAAUUUCAUCUAGUUUUCCCUAAGGGCAGGAGGAAGCACUGCCCGGGCCAGGC